rnacentral:rRNA from 1 species
GAUGAACGCUGGCGGCGUGCUUAACACAUGCAAGUCGAACGAUGAAGCUCAGCUUGCUGUGUGGAUUAGUGGCGAACGGGUGAGUAACACGUGAGUAACCUGCCCUUAACUCUGGGAUAAGCCUGGGAAACUAGGUCUAAUACAGGAUAGGAGCGCCUACCGCAUGGAGGGUGUUGGAAUGAUAUAUCGGUUUUGGAUGGACUCGCGGCCUAUCAGCUUGUUGGUGAGGUAAUGGCUCACCAAGGCGACGCCUGGUAGCCGGCCUGAGAGGGGGACCGGCCACACUGGGACUGAGACACGGCCCAGACUCCUACGGGAGGCAGAAGUGGGGAAUAUUGCACAAUGGGCGAAAGCCUGAUGCAGCGACGCCGCGUGCGGGAUGACGGCCUUCGGGUUGUAAACCUCUUUCAGUAGGGAAGAAGCGAAAGUGACGGUACCUACAGAAGAAGCACCGGCUAACUACGUG